rnacentral:lncRNA from 1 species
CAGUGUCAGAUACAAGAAGCAGAUGGAGACACAGGAGAUAUGUCACAGAGGUUGUUUGAGUUUUCCAGAAAUGUCUGAGCUCCUGCAAACCAGAGAUUACCAACUUCAUCAACAAGUCACUUGUGGAUGACCAUUAGAUGACAGAAAUCACCGUCUCCAGAAGAAGCUGCAGAUUCUGAGAAGUAAUUAUUUCAAUAUCAAUUGAUUUGAAGGAACAGUCCCAAGUCUGAAUUAAGCAGCUUAUGGAAGUUUGUCUUGUUCCUGGUUAAACAUUCCUGCUAUGCAGCUGGGUAAGCUGCUUGCAGUAAUAAAAUCCAG